AAUGAUCCAAAACACACCUGCAAGUCCACCUCUGAAUGGCUGAAGAAAAACAAAAUUAAGACUUUGGAGUGGCCUACACAGCAAAUUCAUCAGUGUUAAAUUUCAAGUGUUAAGCCAAUUUAGAGUAAAGUGUUGAAGUUAUAGUGUAAAAUUUAGAGAAAUUAACACUAUCAGUGUGUUAAAAGCUUGUUUGCUUCAGUGUUAUCACAGAGUUACAGGUAUCCAACACCCCCUGGUGUUAUUUGCAACAUCCGGGCAUUUAUUCAGCGAUCUCGCUGAAAGAUUUUUCCAGACGCCAUUUUCUCGUGCCAUGCGGAGGAUGAGAAACGACAACUGGUGAGUUAAAGCUACUUUAAAGUUUGCGUUUAAUGGACAUCUUCUAUCAAAAUUAUUAAUUUAGUGUUAGUUUUUACAUACGGGGAUGUAUUAACGCGCAAAUUAUGUAUUUGUCCUUGUUCGUUACACAAGGCGGGUGCGCGCCAUCUGAAGCGGUUUUAAAUAUUGCUCCUGUCUGUUACAAAUAAGUUCAAGUCUCAAGGAAAGCGUUUUACUCUGUGCUUGCAUUAUAUGGCUCUUUUUGUGCAAACAUGAAGUUUAUCGGAGUAGUUGAUAUGGUAGGUGUGUCGAACAUACGGCCUGCAGGCUGAACAUAACGUUAGCCCAUGGAUCAGAGGCCUUUUUCAACGGCUCUGCCACGGAGGCGUCCAAGCCGGCCUGAGGGAUGAUUCCAACAAUAAUAUAAAAUUACAGUUAUUUGAGACAAUUUUCUAUCACUCGCUUUCAUCUCGAGUAAGAGAGAUUUUAAAGUUUUAUUGGGCAGCUAUUUCCGGGGUUUUGUUUGUGUAAUAUCGCGCGCUAUCUAUUAUUAGCGCGCGAUAUUCAGCAACGUCAACGUUAAUCACUUAUUAUCAUUGGAGAUAAGUGUCACAUAAACUAAUAAAAUACCUCUGAUGGCGUUUACUUUAUUUUAACAAUACAUUUGAUGUACGUUCUCUUGUGUAGGAACCAACUGGAUCAUGAGACACUACUUUUAAAAUUUUCUUCUUCAGUGCAUUUGUUAAACAGGGUAGAAAGAUAUUGCUGUCAUCCUUAGAAGUUGACUGGUGAUCACCCAUCUACAAUCCUUCCUGAUGAAUCACACACCAUCCUCAGAGUGUUUCCACUAAAGAUCUGAUAGCUCAAGGUUUUAGACUCCUCUUUGGUCCACAAACAGCUUUCAAACUGCUGGAGAAGUGGCCUACAUUCUAUAAGGAAAAGGUGAUCAGAGAAGCAGAGAACCUUGACCUUACUACCACCUCAGUGCUCCAGAGUUUGCUGAAGUCUGCCAGGAAUCAGUAUCAUGAUGAAUCUUCAGAAGAUCACCCAGAGUGGGACAGUGAUAUGACAUAUUUUUUGCUGCUUCUGCAUAUCCUGCCACCACAACAUUUAAAAAAGAAAAAACUGAAGAUCAGCGCAGCUCAGGUCAUGAACCAUCUAGCUGUAUUUCACAAGUGAAUCGGCAGCGUAGAAGAACACUUGGAGAAACUGGAGGGACAUCGCCAGCCAUAUCUCCUUGCUUCAGGAACUCACAUGUGGGCCAUCAGCAGUUACUACGUUGUGAUUGACCCGAUGCUCAUUCCAUGUAAGGGAACCAUGUCGUUGGCAGCCUUUGAUGAACUUUUUAAAGCGCACUUCGUUUUCAGCUCUGAUGAUGCUCUCAGCAACGUGUACACAUUCCUCCAGACAACAGUCUACAGUAUAGAUGUUGACACCACUGAAGAAAGUCCAAAGGUGAAAGAAACUGAGAGCCAAGCUCAUGAACAGGAACUAAGUGUUACGUUUGCAGAGUAUUCCAUAAUGCACCUGUCAUGUUAUGUGAAGCUUUUGAUGAUACUUGAAGCUCUUCGAUUUUUGAUUGUUUUAUGCUUACAGACUGUUUUAUAUUGUACGGCUGCAUCAUAUAGACUGCAAGCAGCAGGUAUGAGCUUUGUUUGUUGAACAAGGUCAUUGUACAGGGUAGUUUGAGUGCCCUGUCCCUGGCUUAAAUGAAAUGUGUAGCUCUGUUAAAGGAAAAAUAAAAUGUAUUCAUUGCA